UGCCUAAGCGAAGGGGAGUAGCCCGCAAUCGCCCGGUCGACAUACUGGCGUUCAGCCCGGCCCGGCGAACCGGAAUCCGUACCGGUGGGCGAGACCUUCGGCCGCGAC
rnacentral:misc_RNA from 1 species